rnacentral:rRNA from 1 species
UACGGAGGGUGCAAGCGUUAUCCGGAUUUACUGGGUUUAAAGGGUGCGUAGGCGGAUAAUUAAGUCAGUGGUGAAAUCUUCAGGCUUAACCUGGAAACUGCCAUUGAUACUAUUUAUCUUGAAUACUUUGGAGGUAAGCGGAAUAUGUCAUGUAGCGGUGAAAUGCUUAGAUAUGACAUAGAACACCAAUUGCGAAGGCAGCUUACUACACAGUAAUUGACACUGAGGCACGAAAGCGUGGGGAUCAAACAGG